AUUGAACGCUGGCGGCAUGCCUUACACAUGCAAGUCGAACGGUAACAGAUCUUCGGAUGCUGACGAGUGGCGAACGGGUGAGUAAUACAUCGGAACGUGCCUAGUAGUGGGGGAUAACUACUCGAAAGAGUGGCUAAUACCGCAUGAGAUCUACGGAUGAAAGCAGGGGAUCGCAAGACCUUGUGCUACUAGAGCGGCCGAUGGCAGAUUAGGUAGUUGGUGGGAUAAAAGCUUACCAAGCCGACGAUCUGUAGCUGGUCUGAGAGGAAGAUCAGCCACGCUGGGACUGAGGCACGGCCCAGAAUACUACGGGAGGCAGCAGUGGGGAAUGUUGGACAAUGGGCGCAAGCGUGGUCCAUCAAUGCCGCCUGCAGGAUGAAGGCCUUCGGUUUGUAGACUGCUUUUGUACGGAACGAAAAGCCCUGGGUUAAUACCCUGGGGUAAUGACGGGACCGGAAGAAUAAGCACCGGCUAACUACGUGCCAGCCGCCGCCGUAAUAC
rnacentral:rRNA from 1 species